rnacentral:rRNA from 1 species
GAUGAACGCUAGCGGCAGGCCUAACACAUGCAAGUCGAGGGAGGAGCUUUCGGGCUUCGACCGGCGUACGGGUGCGUAACGCGUAUACAAUCUGCCUUUCACAUAGGGAUAGCCCGAAGAAAUUUGGAUUAAUACCUAAUGGUAUAUAAGUGUGGCAUCACAUUUAUAUUAAAGCUGAGGCGGUGAAAGAUGAGUAUGCGUUCUAUUAGCUAGUUGGAGAGGUAACGGCUCCCCAAGGCUACGAUAGAUAGGGGUUCUGAGAGGGAUAUCCCCCACACUGGUACUGAGAUACGGACCAGACUCCUACGGGAGGCAGCAGUGAGGAAUAUUGGACAAUGGUCGGAAGACUGAUCCAGCCAUGCCGCGUGCAGGAAGACGGCCUUAUGGGUUGUAAACUGCUUUUGCAGGGGAAGAAUAAGGAGUACGUGUACUUUGAUGACGGUACUCUGCGAAUAAGCAUCGGCUAACUCCGUGCCAGCAGCCGCGGUAAUACGGAGGAUGCGAGCGUUAUCCGGAAUCAUUGGGUUUAAAGGGUCCGUAGGCGGGCUAAUAAGUCAGAGGUGAAAGCGCUCAGCUCAACUGAGCAACUGCCUUUGAAACUGUUAGUCUUGAAUGGUUGUGAAGUAGUUGGAAUGUGUAGUGUAGCGGUGAAAUGCUUAGAUAUUACACAGAACACCGAUAGCGAAGGCAUAUUACUAACAAUUAAUUGACGCUGAUGGACGAAAGCGUGGGGAGCGAACAGG